CUCAGGUUUAGCUGGAGAACUGGGUUCUCUAAAUCCAUUUGCAUGAGCAGACACUCCUGUCACCAUUUGAAGGUGCCCUUUUACCCUUCAAAGGUUUCAAAGCCUGUCACUGCGUAUGCACGCUAACAAGCAUUUGGAAACCAUUCUAGCCACUUCCAAUGUCAAAGACUUGUGUUUCCUCAACUCAGGAGAGUGGUGUCCUGCGCUCGGAUUGUACUUCCUGCAUUGAGAAAGUGUCCCCCAGUAAGAAACCUACAGCAAAGUGAGGCAAGUGUGUUUCUCUCAGCCAUCAUUUA
rnacentral:lncRNA from 1 species